UACGUAGGGGGCAAGCGUUGUCCGGAUUUAUUGGGCGUAAAGAGCGUGUAGGCGGUUAGGUAGGUCCGUUGUGAAAACUCGAGGCUCAACCUCGAGACGCCGAUGGAAACCAUCUGACUAGAGUCCGGAAGAGGCGAGUGGAAUUCCUGGUGUAGCGGUGGAAUGCGCAGAUAUCAGGAGGAACACCAAUAGCGAAGGCAGCUCGCUGGGACGGUACUGACGCUAAGGCGCGAAAGCGUGGGGAGCGAACAGG
rnacentral:rRNA from 1 species